AUUUCUUCCCUUCAGCACUGUUUUUUUUUUUUUUUUUUUAAAUCUAUUUCUGCUGUUUGAUGCCCUGUUGUUUGUGUUUUUUUUUCUUCUGCUGCAGUUUAGCUCAUACAGGGUGAUGAAGAUCAUUAUUAUGCAUUACUUUUUCUUUCUUUAAUUUAUGUAUUAGUAUUAAAACAGACUGAAUUAUGCCCGAUCAUAACAAAGAUAUAGGUGCCUGGGCAGAAAAUGUGAUGAAGGAGCUGCUUGCAUCCAUCCUACACUCUGAAGUCCCUGUAGGAUCCUCAGACAUAUUGUGCUUAUUUUAGUUAUAAUACACGUUAGACUGUGAAGAGGACGGGAAGCAAACAGAACUACAUUUCUGGGUCUGCAGGAUUCCUUAAACAAUAGCUCUGAGAAGAAAAGUCUGCUUUUAAUCCCUCUCUGCGUCACAGAAAGGACUGGACAAUCUCUAGUUUUCAAAUGUCCUUUAAGGGUGGCAUACUUCUAACCCUUAAGAUGUGCAAUCUGUAUGCAGUAACUGCCAGUGCCCUUAUUAGACAUGCAUCCUGCAGCACCUGUGACCUGCAAGGAAGAUGGCUUGCUCUUCAUGCUGUAAUCUAGUGACUGAUGCUGCCACAGAGCUAGGAGGUGGCUGUACUCUGGCUGUGUGCAAAUAAUCCUGACAGAAGGAGGAGAUGCAGAUUCCAGUGGAGCAGAAAUAGAUCUAUGGCCACCCUCUGGCUGAAAGUGUGGGUGUUACUUCCCUCCUCUGCACAUCUUUCAGUUGAGAUAAAAUGGUGUACCAAAAAUUAACUUAAAAGAUCCCUGUCUCCUCAGCUAAAUAUUUAUGCAAUAAUCCCUAUGGCCUAGAAGGGAAGAAUACACUAGGGAGCACAAGGCUUUUACCUCUGCUUGAAACCCUGGGCUAUCCCAAAUUAUCUGAACUUUGCAGGUGGAAUGGUGGUUUUUACCCUCCCAGGGAAACCAUUUUCACCUGGGCUUGUGACUGUGCUCUACCUCUUUUAACAUAGCAGAAAGGGCAUCUCAGCCUAAAUUUUCUUACUGUGCUUUGAGAUGCCUGUGGAAAUGCCUGUUGUGUUUAUGGGUCUGCCAACAGUAAAAGGAAGAAAAGAUUCUCAUGGUAAGUCUGAAGGUUUGGCUUUCAGACGAAGAAUUAGAAGUAAGAGGCAGCAGGUAAAACAGAUCUCACAUGGACUCCAGCUUAAAUUUAAAGACAAGUUGAUUUACUUAUUUGAUUGGGCUUAAAAUAUCUAACAUAAUUUUGGGAAAAUGAUCAUGGUCUACUAAGUCAGAAGAGCCCAGAAAGCUGGUAAAAUAAAAAUGUCAUGGUGUGGUGAAGGUUGGCUUUCCUCAAAUGAUUUUUUUCUUAAACCUGGGAGAGCCUGGACAUAUGCUGAGGUACUCAGCCUGAUUAAUGCUACUAGGUAUUCACCAGCCUUCACCACAAAAUCCCUUCUCAGACAGUAAUACCAAAUAUUCUUGCUUUUCUAAUUACUUAAAAAUAUAUAUUUGUAGCAUGAUAUAGGAAACAAAUGAUCUUGGAGGUGGUUAUCUGAAUCAUUUUAUUAUAAACACUGAACAAUUAAAUUCAAAGUAUUUAUAGACAUUUGAUUGAACGUUUCAAAUAAAUACAGUUUUUCAUUUGAUGCUUUCUUUUCAGGAGACUAUGUUGAAAUAUCCUUUGUAUCAUAAAAUUUAAUGCUCUGCUUUAGUAGUUUCAAAGCUCAAGUAUUUAUGCUUAUGGAUAGACACAUGUAGACAUAGCAGAAAUUCUGUCCCAAGUGAUUCUGACACAGCACCUCUUUUCCUUUGGCCAUAGCAGGGUUCAGUCAUACUUGGUCCCACUUUGCAUGAGCCCUCAGAGGUCAGUGCUUCAUUUGCAUGAUUUUAAUAACCUGUGCAACCCAGUGAGUUCACACUAUGUAGAACUGGAAAGAGAUUUGUUGGUGUGAAGAUUUCUCACUGCAAGGGCAGAAGGAAUUCAGAGGAGGGAGGGGAAAAAUAUGUUGCAUAUGUGUGCUGUGUAGGAAGUGUAUUUGGGACUAAGGAGAUUCCCUGAGAACAGAAAAGGGAUAAUUCUGAGUAGAUGAAUUAGCAGAACAGAUUUGGAAGCUUGGUCCAGGAAAAAUGUUGGAGCUGGGGAGGGAGGGAUAGAGUAAUAUUGCAACAGUAUUGGAAGAAUCAUCCUCACUGGAAAAGAGGUUGUGGGUUUAUUAUUAUUAUUAUUAUUAUUAUUUUAAUUUUUUUAAUGACUCCAGAUUCUGUUGUGUGCCUCAUGUCUGAAAACAUAGGCUGAUCAAAUUGUGUAGCAGGUUGUUAUCAAGGUCUCACUGUCCACAAUUAGCAACAUCCUAAGCUUUUAUUUUGGUGGAGAUGAUGUUCUGAUCUGGUUUGUGUUCUGCUUUCAGCAAUUGUUACACUUGUUUCUAGGAUUUUAUCCCAUACAAGUUUAAAUACAAGUAAACUUGAGCAGAAAAUGUAUUUUAAUUCAAUAAAUUGUUGAUCUAUUCUUCAAAUAUGUUGGGAUGUUUUACUAAAGAGUCAACCCCGUGUUGCUGUGCAAUACGCAGAAUCCUCGCUGAAC
rnacentral:lncRNA from 1 species